rnacentral:lncRNA from 1 species
GGCUCCCCGAAGACGCAUUCCAGUGCCAAGCAGCCGAGAGAGCAGAGCGGGGAGGAAGGAGACCCUCUUACGGAUGUCACUGCAGGGUCAGGUCCUCACUCACUUUCCCACCAGGGGACCCCUCCAGCCACCCGGUCCUAUGAUUCUCAAUCGGGAAUCACAGGCGUUACAAGCCUGUGUUCAUUCGUUCCUUAUCGUAGGCCGGGGACCAUACCGACUGAUACCAUGCGGGACAGGAGACCUGAAGCUGAAUAGCACGCUCCGUCGGCUUGAAGACUCGCGUGAGAGGAUAAGGGGGUCAUGGAGCAGACCAGGCUGUGAGAGCGUCUGCCCCCAGCAGGACAACGUCCAUGCAAUGAGAGGCACAUAGCGGCUAAAGCAAAAACACAGAGCCUGCCAGCCCUCGGCCACCACCUCCCCAAAAGGACUACAAGGCGGAACCCCCAGCCUUCUCUCCCUGGUAGCUUUGCUCUGUCUUCCUUGGCCCGGAUUGGCUGUGGAGGACCUCACUGCUCUGGUGGCAUCCUGAGAACUCCUUCCACGUCCUGGGGGUCGCUAAACAUUGAGUCAAUUCCCCUCCCAGCUGGCUCCCCUCCCUGUUUUAGGGUGACCUAGUCGCACGGUCCCCUGACUCCCCAGUUUUCUCUGGCCACCUCUCCUCGUCAGACACGACUGUGGGGAGGGUGGGGGCCUUGGGCUUUAGUCACACAGAGACGUCCUUGAGACAAAAAGGGAUGCCUUUUUGCCAGUGGGUGACUCUCGGUACCCCCGUUCUAUGGCAUUUAGGCUAAGGAAGGUUCUGGCACAUCCCGGGAGCCCCCUGCAGAUUCUCCCCUUGGCUGUAUCCUCAGGAAAUGGAAGAAAUUUGAUCCAAUCUCAAAAAGAAUAGGGUUCUUUUCUUUUCUGUCUUCUGUCUUUUUAGGGCCACACCCAGGGCAUAUGGAGGUUCCCAGGCUAGGGGUUGAAUCAGAGCUGCAGCUGCUGGCUUACACCACAGCCACAGCAACAUGGGAUCCAAGCCAUGUCUGCGACCUACACUACAGCUCACCGCAACGCCAGAUCCUUAACCCACUGAGAGAGGCCAGGGAUCGAACCCACUUCCUCACGGAUACUAGUCAGGUUCAUUAACCACUGAGCCAUGAUGGGAACG